GUGCUACUCUAUGCAUACUUUUUUUUUUCGUUCCACACUUCUGAUCAAGGAAAACUUCAGCACCAUAUUUGUUUAAUGUUUUCAAAGUCAAAGGAAAUACAGUUUUGCUAGCCAAAUACUUCAAAAGGCCAGGGAAGUAAUAAUUAGCCAAAUGAUAGAUGUGCAGUCAUAUCACACCCAAACACAGUUAAUAAAACAAUUGUCCCUCUAAAAAGUAUCCUCAGCCAGAC